CUCUCUCAGUCGUUCGCUCUCACACCCUCACUCACUUUCACUGGGCUGGAGCUGGGGGUUGGAGUGCAGGGAGGGGCUCUGAGCAAGGCCUGCCCAGAGAACAUGGAUGACGAGCUCUCGAUCCUGCUGACAGCACCCCCCAGCACAGACAAACUCCAGCACAUCUUGGAGGUGCUGAAGACACAAUGGAAGAGGAAAUCCUUUGGCCUGGAUUGAAAUUAUUCCGACUGAAAGUGAAUGAGAGAAAAUAGGUCCAGAGUUCUCUUCCU